rnacentral:rRNA from 1 species
CAUGCAGUCGAGCGGAGAUGAGGUGCUUGCACCUUAUCUUAGCGGCGGACGGGUGAGUAAUGCUUAGGAAUCUGCCUAUUAGUGGGGGACAACAUUCCGAAAGGAAUGCUAAUACCGCAUACGCCCUACGGGGGAAAGCAGGGGAUCUUCGGACCUUGCGCUAAUAGAUGAGCCUAAGUCGGAUUAGCUAGUUGGUGGGGUAAAGGCCUACCAAGGCGACGAUCUGUAGCGGGUCUGAGAGGAUGAUCCGCCACACUGGGACUGAGACACGGCCCAGACUCCUACGGGAGGCAGCAGUGGGGAAUAUUGGACAAUGGGCGGAAGCCUGAUCCAGCCAUGCCGCGUGUGUGAAGAAGGCCUUUUGGUUGUAAAGCACUUUAAGCGAGGAGGAGGCUACUUAGAUUAAUACUCUAGGAUAGUGGACGUUACUCGCAGAAUAAGCACCGGCUAACUCUGUGCCAGCAGCCGCGGUAAUACAGAGGGUGCGAGCGUUAAUCGGAUUUACUGGGCGUAAAGCGUGCGUAGGCGGCUGAUUAAGUCGGAUGUGAAAUCCCUGAGCUUAACUUAGGAAUUGCAUUCGAUACUGGUCAGCUAGAGUAUGGGAGAGGAUGGUAGAAUUCCAGGUGUAGCGGUGAAAUGCGUAGAGAUCUGGAGGAAUACCGAUGGCGAAAGCAGCCAUCUGGCCUAAUACUGACGCUGAGGUACGAAAGCAUGGGGAGCAAACAGGAUUAGAUACCCUGGUAGUCCAUGCCGUAACGAUGUCUACUAGC